AUUUGGGUGAGGACACAGCCAAACCAUAUCACCCAUUUUCUAGGGAGGAAUUAAAGCCAGGCUGCAGAAAUUUGCAUAAGUAAAGAGGAGCCAAAUGUUAAUAGCCAAGACAAUGGGGAAAAUGCCAUAAAGACAUUUCAGAGACCUUUGCAGCAGCUCCUCCCAUCACAGGCCCAGAGGCCUGGGAGGGAAGAAUGGUUUUAUGGGCUGGACCCAGAGCCCCACUACCCUGUGCAACCUCAGGAUGCUGCUCCCUAUGUCUCAUCUGCUCCAGCUCCAGCCAUAGCUAAAAGGGUCCCAGAUAUGUCUCAGGCCACUGCUCCAGAAGGUGCAAGGCACAAGCCUUGACAGCUACCACAUGGCUCAUCAGUGGAAGGGAUUUACCUUGUCUCAGAUGAGACUUUGGACUGUGGACUUUUGAGUUAAUGCUGAAAUGAGUUAAAAUGUGGGGGACUGUUGAGAAGGGAUGAUUGGAUUCUGCGGUGUGAGAAGGACAUGUGAUUUAGUAGAGGCCGCAGGCAGAAUGAUAUGCUUUGGAUUUGUGUCCCUGCUGAACUCUCAUGUCAAAUUGUAAUUCCCAGUACUGGAGGAGGGGCCUGCUGGUGGGAGGUGACAGCGUGCUGGCAGCCCUUGCAGCCCCAAAGCUCACUCUCGGUGCCUCCUCGGCCUCAGUGCCCAUUCUGGCCAUGCUUGAGGAGCCCUUCAGCCCACUGCUGCACCGUGGGAGCCCUUCUCUGGGCUGGCCAAGGCCAGAGCCGGCACCCUCGGCUUGCAGGGAGGUGUGGAGGGAGAGACACGGGCAGGAACUGGGGCUGCGCGCAGCACUUGCGGGCCAGCUGGAGUUCCGGGUGGGCGUGGGCUUGGCGGCCUCACACUCAGAGUGGCUGGCCGGCCCUGCUGGCCCAGGCAGUGAGGGGCUUAGCACCUGGGCAAGCAGCUGCCGAUGGUGCGCCGGCUCCCCCAGCAGUGCUGGCCCACAGCGCUGCGAUGGAUUUCUCACCAGGCCUUAGCUGCCUCCCCACAGGGCAGGGCUCGGGACCUG
rnacentral:lncRNA from 1 species